rnacentral:rRNA from 1 species
UACGGAGGGGGCUAGCGUUGUUCGGAAUUACUGGGCGUAAAGCGCACGUAGGCGGACGCUUAAGUCAGGGGUGAAAUCCCGGGGCUCAACCCCGGAACUGCCUUUGAUACUGGGUGUCUGGAGGUCGAGAGAGGUGAGUGGAAUUCCUGGUGUAGCGGUGAAAUGCGCAGAUAUCAGGAAGAACACCCGUGGCGAAAGCGGCUCUCUGGAACGGUACUGACGCUGAGACGCGAAAGCGUGGGGAGCGAACAGG